rnacentral:misc_RNA from 1 species
GAUGAAGAACGUAGCGAAAUGCGAUACGUAAUGUGAAUUGCAGAAUUCAGUGAAUCAUCGAGUCUUUGAACGCACAUUGCGCCCCCUGGUAUUCCGGGGGGCAUGCCUGUCCGAGCGUCAUUGCUGCCCUCAAGCACGGCUUGUGUGUUGGGCCUCCGUCCUCCUCCCGGGGGACGGGCCCGAAAGGCAGCGGCGGCACCGCGUCCGGUCCUCGAGCGUAUGGGGCUUCGUCACCCGCUCUUGUAGGCCCGGCCGGCGCUUGCCGACACAUCAAUCUUUUUUCCAGGUUGACCUCGGAUCAGGCAGGGAUACCCGCUGAACUUAAGCAUAUCAAUAAGCGGAGGA